rnacentral:pre_miRNA from 1 species
CUGCAAGAAGGAUUUAGGGCAAUGUAUGAACAACAGGAAUGUUAUGUACAGUAUAUUAUAAAAUUCUAUAUGUAACGUUUUUGUUGUCUUAAAUUGCUCUGCAACCAUCGUAAAAG